rnacentral:lncRNA from 1 species
CGCCCACCUCGUCCUUCAGAUGGGGGUCCAGCUACGCCGGGCCUUGCAGCCAUACCCAGGAUGAAUGGGGGUGAGGAGAGGCCUUGGCAGAGCUCGGCCUCAGGAUCUCGUCCCGGUGGAGGUACAGCAAAGGGGAAGCCGUCUUACUGGCCUUUCCUCUGCUGAGAUCACGGGAAAUACGCGGGCGGGUCCAGUUGUGCUUCCGCACAGCUAGUUGUUGACAAAAGUAGGAAGACUGGCAGACAAGCGACCCAAUCAAAAGAGAGAUCGGUGACAGUAGUUAAAGGCAUCAUCUACUGAAAGAGUAGGAGAAGAUGGCCACUCUGAACCAUACCAACUGUAAUUCAGCGUCACCAGCUGCUCUGGAGAAGACGAAGACUUCUGGUGGUCUUCGGAGCCCCCAGAUAGCCCAUGAGCCUCAUGACUUCGGUGGUUCCCUGCUUCUGCAACCAGGAAGGGAGAUUCAAUCAGAGGAUGAAGGGACUGCCCCAGCCGGCGAUGGCUCAAGUUGUAACAUUAGGGGUUCUCGAACCCAGAGCCCAGGGGGCUGUUCAGUGGAGGCGGUGCUGGCCCGGAAGAAACACCGUAGGCGGCCAUCAAAACGCAAGCGGCACUGGCGGCCAUACUUGGAGCUGAGCUGGGCUGAGAAGCAACAGCGGGAUGAGAGGCAGAGCCAGAGGGCCUCUCGGGUCCGCCAGGAGAUGUUCGC